UACGAAGGGGGCGAGCGUUGUUCGGAUUUACUGGGCGUAAAGGGCGCGUAGGCGGCUUGGCAAGUGGAUGGUGAAAUCCCUCGGCUUAACCGAGGAACUGCCGUCCAAACUGCUUAGCUUGAGACCGGGAGAGGUGAGUGGAAUUCCCAGUGUAGCGGUGAAAUGCGUAGAUAUCGUAAGGAAGACCAGUGGCGAAGGCGGAUCUCUGGGCCUUACCUGACGCUCAGGCGCGAAAGCUAGGGGAGCGAACUGG
rnacentral:rRNA from 1 species